AAAGACCUUAUGCUUUUGGAGCGGCCGAUGUCUGAUUAGCUAGUUGGUAAGGUAAUGGCUUACCAAGGCAACGAUCAGUAGUUGGUCUGAGAGGACGGCCAGCCACACUGGGACUGAGACACGGCCCAGACUCCUACGGGAGGCAGCAGUGGGGAAUUUUGGACAAUGGGCGCAAGCCUGAUCCAGCAAUGCCGCGUGAGUGAAGAAGGCCUUCGGGUUGUAAAGCUCUUUCAGUUGAGAAGAAAAGGUUAUGACUAAUAAUCAUAACUCAUGACGGUAUCGACAGAAGAAGCACCGGCUAACUACGUGCCAGCAGCCGCGGUAAUACGUAGGGUGCGAGCGUUAAUCGGAAUUACUGGGCGUAAAGGGUGCGCAGGCGGUUCUGUAAGUCAGAUGUGAAAUCCCCGGGCUUAACCUGGGAACU
rnacentral:rRNA from 1 species